CCAAUUACCUAAAAUUUGGAUCCAUCUCUUCAUCUUCAGCGCCCAACCUUACUUUCCAACGCAAAAACGCUCUGAAGAUCAAGAGAACAGUGGCCGCGCAAAACCGGCGAGGACAAAUUUGGAAAGCUGAUCUUCUGAAGCAUAAUCGAUUCAAUACUUGGAAGAAUCGAGCUUCUCAUCGGUAACUUCGAGUAAUCAAGCAUUUCCAAGGAGAGCCAUCGCCGCUGGAGUUCCGGAACCACCUCCCCUUCGUACUCUCCUUCUUGACUCUCUGUUUCCCCGCUUCACUUGCUGGAACUAUAAGUUUGAAGUUAUUGCCGGCUCUCGUGGAAGACAAAUUGAAAAGAGUAAUAUAAUGGGAUCAAAGAGACGAGAUGAUAAUGCUGUAGAUGAGGAAGAGUUAGCUCCAGAAAUAAAGAGGCAGAAAUUACUUGGGGAAUUCUCACCUUCUUCUCCUCCACCGGCCUCAGAGAACCCUCGGCUUCCUGGUUUUAACUAUGGUGAUGAUGAUGAAGAAGAAGAUUACAAAUUUAAACAAAAUGGAAGCAGAAAUGGUGGAGAUGGAGGGGACGACAAUGACGAUGAGGAAGAUGAUGAAUACGAUGAUGAUGCCAAUCACGUAAAGCGAAGCCGUGAUGUUGAAGUUCGAAAAGAUUGUCCUUAUCUCGAUACUGUAAACCGUCAGGUUUUGGAUUUUGAUUUUGAGAAGUUUUGCUCUGUCUCUCUGUCAAAUCUGAAUGUUUAUGCCUGCCUGGUAUGCGGCAAGUACUAUCAAGGGAGAGGGAAGAAAUCUCAUGCUUACACUCACAGUCUCGAAGCAGGACACCAUGUGUAUAUCAACCUUCGGACGGAGAAAGUUUACUGCCUUCCUGAUGGCUAUGAGAUUAACGACCCCUCAUUAGAUGAUAUUCGCUAUGUCUUGAAUCCAAGGUUUACCAAAGAGCAGGUAGAGCUGCUUGACAAGAACAAGCAAUGGUCUAGGGCACUUGAUGGAUCUGAUUAUCUUCCUGGAAUGGUGGGGCUUAACAACAUUAAGGAAACAGAUUUUGUAAAUGUGACAAUUCAAUCCUUAAUGAGGGUUACUCCACUCAGGAACUUCUUCCUAAUACCCGAGAACUAUCAGCACUGCAAAUCUCCACUUGUCCACCGGUUUGGUGAACUCACACGUAAGAUUUGGCAUGCAAGGAACUUCAAAGGACAGGUAAGUCCGCAUGAAUUUCUGCAAGCAGUUAUGAAGGCUAGUAAAAAACGUUUCCGAAUAGGUGCACAAUCAGAUCCUGUUGAAUUCAUGUCAUGGUUUCUUAACACACUUCAUUCAGAACUGCGAAUGUCAAAGAAAAGUAGCAGUAUAAUCUACGAAUGUUUCCAGGGGGAAUUGGAGGUUGUGAAAGAGAUUCACUCAAAAGCUCUCACUGAGAAGAAAGAAAAUGGUGACGAUCAGGAUGCUGGAAGUGAAGGAAGCAGCGUCAUAAUGGAAACUUCUAGAAUGCCAUUCUUAAUGCUUGGAUUGGAUUUACCACCACCACCUCUUUUCAAAGAUGUUAUGGAGAAAAAUAUUAUACCACAGGUUCCGCUCUUCAACAUUUUGAAGAAAUUUGAUGGUGAAGCUAUCACAGAAGUUGUCCGUCCACGUAUAGCAAGGAUGCGCUACCGUGUCACUCGAUUGCCUCAGUAUUUAAUUCUUCAUAUGCGACGAUUUACAAAGAACAACUUUUUCGUGGAGAAGAAUCCCACACUAGUGAACUUCCCUGUCAAGAAUCUGGAAUUGAAGGAUUACAUCCCCUUGCCAACACCUAAAGAGAAUGAAAAAUUGCGUUCAAAGUACGAUUUGAUUGCAAAUAUUGUCCAUGACGGCAAACCCGACGAAGGGUGCUACAGGGUGUUUGUACAGAGGAAGUCAGAAGAAUUAUGGUACGAGAUGCAGGAUCUUCAUGUCUCAGAAACACUUCCUCAAAUGGUUGCUCUCUCCGAGGCUUAUAUGCAGAUAUAUGAACGGCAGCAAUAGACAGGAAGUUCGAUGUCCACAUCUAACUGCAUAUUUAGUUGGUUUGUUCGUUCCCCCUCUAGAAGAUAUGUCCCUGUACUUGAACAGGAGAGAUUGGAGAGAAGAUGAGUUUUGAAAUGAAUCAAUUGUCAUUCUGGACAAUGCUGCACACUCAUUUCAGUAAAGCAGGUAAAAAAUUUGUUCCCCAACUUACUUUUAAGUUUUAUGUGACAUAUCAUUGAUAUACUAGGACUGUAAUUUUCAUCAGUAGGAAAUUAGGCUUGAAAAGUUUUCAAUGCAGCCUGCAACUUUGGUUAACUUUGGAUUGGAGGACUUGUAUUUGCAGAGUUGUGACUGCGUUUCAAAAGCUUUGGUUCAUGGCUGCAUUUUUUACUCAUAAGUGGUAUGUGGAUCCCAAUGUCUCUCUUAGUAUCGUUCAACCAUACCAUAAUUUUGACUGUUGCAUAUUAUAUCAAACUUGUUUACUUUAUAUUAGGCAAUUUGGAUUA